rnacentral:rRNA from 1 species
GACAGAGGGUGCAAACGUUGUUCGGAAUUACUGGGCGUAAAGCGCGUGUAGGCGGCCCUGCAAGUCGGAUGUGAAAUCCCACGGCUCAACCGUGGAAGUGCAUUCGAAACUGCAGGGCUAGAGUCCUGGAGAGGAAGGUGGAAUGCUUGGUGUAGAGGUGAAAUUCGUAGAUAUCAAGCGGAACACCGGUGGCGAAGGCGGUUCUCUGGGCAUGAUCUGACGCUGAGGAGCGAAAGUGUGGGGAGCGAACAGG